AAUCAGAGGCCUGUUGCGAGGUCGCCCCAGGAAAGAAGUGAUGAUUGGCUUGGCGUGGGGGUGGGGAGCUCCCUAACGAGAAGGGCGCGGCCAGGGAAGGGCGGAACCGGGACGUUAGGGACCGUAGAGCGCGUGCGCAGGAGUUUAGAAGGUUCCAGGUCCGCUGAGCCGUUUGGACAGCGAACCUGCGGGAGGGGUACGGUAUCGCGAGGUUUGGCGAGGCCCGGGAGUGGGAGGGGGCUGCCUAUAGAGCUGUCGUCAGUUUGUCCGCGCACCCUCCGCUGCCGGUGCUACGUGCCAGAAGUACGUGGGAGUUGAGGAAGGCCGGCAGCCCUAGACUGAGGGAAAGACUGAGAGAAAGAGGGAAGAGUGAGGGGAAGAGUCUUAACCCGGGCGCGCCCAGCCGUUUUGUGGAGUAGAGAUCCGGAAAGCCAAAGUUGUGCCGGGACGUGAGGAAGACGUCAGAGUACCGCACAUUGGCGAGGCCGCAUGGACUAAGAAAGUCGUCUUCAUCACCUGUUCGGAGGAAGUCCCCACCGUCCGCAUUCCUCUCCAUCCUUGCCCAGCAGGUGCACGCUCGGUCAGGUACUGUGCCCCCACCCGCACUAUAACAUAUCCUCCAGCAAACCAGUGUGGCAGGCAUGUCUGUUUUGUUCACCACUUUAUACCCCAGCACGUGACGGUUACUUGUGCUCCACUCCCUAAUUUUAAAGCAAUUACUUUUCAAGAAAUGUAUGCCUAAAUAAUUAAACAUAAUAAUUUGCCGUAAUAAUAAAGAUGAGAAUAAAGAGA